rnacentral:rRNA from 4 species
AAAACGACUCUCGGCAACGGAUAUCUCGGCUCUCGCAUCGAUGAAGAACGUAGCGAAAUGCGAUACUUGGUGUGAAUUGCAGAAUCCCGUGAACCAUCGAGUCUUUGAACGCAAGUUGCGCCUGAAGCUUCGUGUGGAGGGCACGCCUGCCUGGGCGUCACGC